UCUAGAGGCUUCGUCAAUGCCCGAAAGGGUGAACGAGCGACGCCGCGUGCGGGAUGAAGGCCUUCGGGUUGUAAACCGCUUUUGUUCGGGACGAAUACCCGGGUCGUGAACCUGGGGGUGACGGUACCGGACGAAUAAGCCUCGGCUAACUCCGUGCCAGCAGCCGCGGUAAGACGGAGGAGGCAAGCGUUGUUCGGAAUUAUUGGGCGUAAAGGGCUCGUAGGCGGAUCGGCAAGUCUGACGUGAAAUCUCCACCGCUCACCGGGGAGAGGUCGUUGGAUACUACUGAUCUGGAGUUUGGCAGAGGGUCGUGGAAUUCCGGGUGUAGCGGUGGAAUGCGUAGAUAUCCGGAAGAACACCGGUGGCGAAGGCGGCGACCUGGGCCAAAACUGACGCUGAGGAGCG
rnacentral:rRNA from 1 species